CAAUAGCGUAUAUUUAAGUUGUUGCAGUUAAAAAGCUCGUAGUUGGAUUUCUGCUGAUCGCUGUCGGUCUGCCGUCAGGUGUGUACUGGCAGUGUUUGGCAUCUAUUCGAGAUUGGGUAUCCACUUGAUUGUGUGCACUCGAUGUCGGAGCUAAUACUUUGAGAAAAUUAGAGUGUUCCACGCAGGCGCGUGCCUUGAAUACUGCAGCAUGGGAUAUUGGAAGGCCGAUUGAGCUUUCUUGUUGGUUCUCGGUUUGAUCGGAAUGAUUAAUAGGGAUAGUUGGGGGCAUUCGUAUUCAACUGUCAGAGGUGAAAUUCUUGGAUUUGUUGAAGACGGACUACUGCGAAAGCAUCUGCCAUGGAUGUUCUCAUUG
rnacentral:rRNA from 1 species